UGGAAAUCAUGCAACACUUAAUAACUGACACGUCUCUAGCACUGACACGAAACCCAAAGUUAUGAGAAGUAAAAGAUAUAUGUCAUGUCGAAGAAACACUUCGAUGCCUAGUUUUAAAUGUGUUGUUAUACUCGACAAAUAUUAUUUCUACACUUGAAAUUUAAUCAUUGUAAAAUGACUUACCAACCACGUCGACCGUGCCACAGAUCAACGACAGGCAGACCGUCCGAAAGAUAUCGGUGAGAUGUGUCGUUGACAUACGUUGCGAAGGCAGGUAUCUACCGUUCCGGAAUUUGAAUUAUUAUUUCGAAAGGUGUAAGGGUAAAUUAUUUACGUGAAUCAAUUAUUGACAUUGAAAACAUUUUAUUCAGUCAGUAAGAAGCAUUCUACAUGAUGAUGAUGAUAAUGAUGAUGAUGAUGAUGGAUGAUGAUGAUGAUGAUAAUGUAAUAAUAAUGAUAAUAAUAAUAGUAAUUCAUAAUAAUAAUUCAUAAUAAUAAUUCGCCCAUAAUAACCAUUUGUAAUAUACAGGUAAACUCUCUCUCCUUAUCUCAUUUUCCCAGUUUUCUCUAUCGCUCGUUCACACACAUUGAAUUGUCAUUGUACAUAAAUUAUAGAAAUUUCACCAAUAAAUAAAACAUUACAUUCUUCAGACUAUGAAUGUAGUCAAUAAAUCAUCCUUAUCUCGUUUUUUUUUUUGCUGCAAAUGUAUCUUGUUACUUCUUUUUAGUUCUGUUUAUUCGGCAGCGUUGUUGGAUUUGAAGGACUACUUUAAACUCACUGCUCACAGUGACGUUUACAUACUUUGUGCUUUCUUUGUACAUUGUUAAAAGAUUCGUACCUGUCAAGCAGGUUCAAAGAUAACAAAUCCUAGACGCUUCUCUCCAUAAGGCAUAAUAUAUUCCAUUAUAUCUCGCAACAGAAUGAUGGUGUCAGUAAAUAUAUAAAUAAAUGAUGACACAACAAUGUAAACGUAACUGAUGCAGUUCUAUUACUGUAAAUCCAUAUUUCUAUUGAUUUGAGGUAGUGUAUUCAAUGUAAUCCUAUUACUUUGCUGCUAUAUGUUGUGUGCGGAUAUGUGUAUCAUAUGAAUAUUUUUCACACCCAUACACUUUUUUUACUAUAAGUCCAAAAUAUGCAAAGUAUGUUAGGAAACUUUGUACUCAAUAAACAGAUGCGAUCGUAAGUAUGUGUAUAUAUGAUCUUUCAAGACCAUAUUCUCAGUAAUAAUCUUAUUUGUUGUAAACAACAUGAUAUUCUUUUAUCGAUAUUUAUAAACAGUUCAGAAUGUAUAAACGAAGGAAUAUGUUCUAUGUAUAUAUGUAUAUAUAAAUAUAUACACACACGCACUCACACAAAUCAGUAUUUUGGACUUACAGUUAUCUCAGUUGUAAGUGUGUUUCAAAAAUUAUCAUCUAUGUAUAAAGUAUGAGAAAACUAAAUGUCGGGCAAAUUUUGAAACCUGCUGUAACUUUGCAUUGAUUAUUUUGUACAUGCCAUAUGUAAAACAAGCAUGAGACUUUGUAAGAACGUCUUGACAUUAUUUUGUGACAAAAUCUUCCCGCUAUUCAGUAUUCCAACUUCAUUACCAAAUACGACAAGGCUGCUGACAUUAGGCUUGCUAGCACUUGUAAAUAAUGCCCAGCAAUUGUGCUAUUUUGUUAGUUUCUUUAACUAUUAUUUCAUGUUUAAUUUAUCACAUUUUAAUCGUCUUCACAGAUUGAAAAAGAGAGGGCACAUGUAACAUCAUGCAUUACCAAGUUGGCUCAAUCUAUGAACACUUUUGUAAAAAAUAUAACAUCUAUGGAUGGUUGAGCCCUCGGUUAGCAUAUAGCGAAUUAGUACUUUUGAAGGUAAUGCGGAUCACUUCUGCAGGAACAAGCAAUGGAUAUAGAUAUCCAUAUACGAUCUGUAUAAAGGGCAUAUAACAUUACCCUUCCCUUUACUUUAAAAGGAAACAUUGCCUUUGGGUUUAAAAAGAUACCCAAUAGUUUAUAUCUAAUAUUUAAAAAAUGGAACCUAUUUAAGCGCAAGAGACGGAUACUUCCUGCAAUUUGAUUGUACAACCACUUUAUUCUAUUGCAGAAGUGAUUUUCGCUCUAGUCUUCGUAUAUUAGUUUUUAUUCCAAUAUCACACAUACCCCCUCCCUAAGAAACUAAACACAGUAAACUUAAUGAGUACUCGAGAAAUUGACGACAUCAAUUUUGAAUUUUGACACAUUCGUGUUAUCCUUAUAUUAUCUUCAAUAUAAGUUUAACGACUUAACCAAAUGAAUUUUUCAAGUUAAAACAACAA